ensembl:ncRNA lncRNA:CR44214 long non-coding RNA:CR44214
CUAUCAAAGGAUAGCUAUUCAAAUUUGGUAACAAACAGGCUCUGCAACAAACUCAAAUUAAUGGACGAAAAUGUCGUUAACAACUGAUAGCAGUAUGAAAUCAAGUUGUAAAUCUGACGUAUUUUUGCUCGCCAUAGUUUUAAAAUAUUUUCGAAAUACCUGACCAAACAUUAUAAGAAAAUGUAGAUGAAUGUGGUGGCAUAUCCACACGCAAGGUCUCGAAGUCAGACAAUCGCUUUUUAACAAUUUCCCAAGCGGUUUAUCGGCGGCUUUGCGAGUUGGCUAAAACGACAGAAUGGCUGCAUGCCAUUAUUGCCAGUUAACCCCGAAGUUGUCAUCAGUUUGGGCCAUAGCCACCGCUUGGCUCGGUGGGGUUUUUUUUUUUUUGGCCGGGACCUUAGGUCUUCACCGACUUUUCCAAUUUCCCACUUUUGCACCUGCCGGAUGGCACACACGCACAUGAAUGCUAAUGCAGCAGCGGCAGCACGCACAAAUGCACAACCGCAUUGCAACCACACGAGAAACCCAGGCAGACAUCCUGCUGGAUGGAGACAGUGGGUAAAAUUAAUUCGUCGAGGAAUGGGAGCACUUUUCGAACCAAACAGAAAUUCGUAUGUUAAGCUGGUUUUCUUUGAAAUUUUUGAAACUUAGUCUACAAAAAUUUUUACUUAUCUACAACCAAGGAAAUUUGUAUUACACUUGGUCAUCAAGUCACUGGAAUUUCUUAUGUUUUAUCUGGCGAUUUUUAUUUCCACUCACUGUGCGCAAUUCACGACAAGAGCCGCUUAAUUCGUGCAAAUAAUAUGAUUGUGCAACAUAUGUUCGGGUAGUGGGUCCAUUAUAACGCAGCUAGGAUUGGUGAAUGGGAUGAAGUGCUGCCAAGUGCGCUUGCAUUUCCGGACGGAGUCCUCGGGAGCAUGCCACAUUGUUGCCGCAAACUUGCAACGCAAUUACACUGAAAUCGCACAUUAUUUACGUGCUUUGGCUGCUCUCGAAAUUCGAAAGGCGAUGUGCGAAAUGUUAAUGAAAGGAGCAAUACACAGCAGAUGCUGCACCACAUAGACUGCUCCGAUGGGCAGGUUAAUUAUGUCAACAAUUAGACUGUUUUAUGCACUCGGUGCCGGCAGCUGGCAAAUGGAGGUGAAUUCAGUUAACAACCCACAAUUCUGGGACAGUUGUUGCUCUCGACAAAACAAACAAUCCCACUGCUGCCGGAGGCGUGGUCCUUUCAUUUUGGCUAGCCAAGUGCCAUGUCCUACACAGGCAAUUACAGCAACAAUGGCUCCUUGCAGCCAUCGAGUAAAAUGCAAAUAAAAAUUCAGCUCCAGCUUUUGGCUCCUCCAUUUUGCAUGGCACGCAGGGGGCUAUAAAGAACUGGCCCACAAAAAUGCCAUUCAGAUGCAAAGCCCAGAAAACUCUGAGAACGAAAACUUGCGCAGAGCGAGAAAAUACCAUAUGAUUUGGUCAUCAAAUUAAUUUUUAUUGACGAAAACAUAUUAGAGGAUAGUUUAAAACUGAAAAUAUCAAAACACAAUGUUCUUGUCAU